GGGGAUAUAGCUCAGCUGGGAGAGCGCNNAGGUCAGGGGUUCGAGCCCCCUUAUCUCCACCA
rnacentral:tRNA from 1 species